UCCCGAUUAGCUCAAUUGGCAGAGCGUGAGACUUUUAAUCUCAAGGUUCAGGGUUCGACCCCCUGAUCGGGAG